GAUGAACGCUGGCGGCGUGCCUAAUACAUGCAAGUCGAGCGAACAGACGAGGAGCUUGCUCCUCUGACGUUAGCGGCGGACGGGUGAGUAACACGUGGAUAACCUACCUAUAAUACUGGGAUAACUUCGGGAAACCGGAGCUAAUACCGGAUAAUAUAUUGAACCGCAUGGUUCAAUAGUGAAAGACGGUUUUGCUGUCACUUAUAGAUGUAUCCGCGCCGCAUUAGCUAGUUGGUAAGGUAACGGCUUACCAAGGCAACGAUGCGUAGCCGACCUGAGAGGGUGAUCGGCCAUACUGGAACUGAGACACGGUCCAGACUCCUACGGGAGGCAGCAGUAGGGCAUCUUCCGCAAUGGGCGAAAGCCUGACGGAGCAACGCCGCGUGAGUGAUGAAGGUCUUCGGAUCGUAAAACUCUGUUAUUAGGGAAGAACAAAUGUGUAAGUAACUAUGCACGUCUUGACGGUACCUAAUCAGAAAGCCACGGCUAACUACGUG
rnacentral:rRNA from 1 species